AUUGAACGCUGGCGGCGUGCCUAAUACAUGCAAGUCGAACGGAGUGGCGCACGGGUGAGUAAUAUAUAGCUAAUCUGCACCUUGGUGGAGGACAACAGUUAGAAAUGACUGCUAAUACUCCAUAGCAAGGGAUGAGACUAUAUCGUAUCAGCUAGUCGGUGGGGGAACGGCCUACCGAGGCUAUGACGCGUAACUGGUCUGCGAGGAUGAUCAGGCACAUUGGAACUGAGACACGGUGCAAACUCCUACGGGAGGCAGCAGUAGGGAAUAUUGCGCAAUGGGGGAGACCCUGACGAAGCACCGCAGCGUGGAGGAUGACACUUUUCGGAGCGUAAACUCCUUUUGUUAGGGAAGCGGUACCUAACGAAUAAGCACCGGCUAACUCCGUGCCAGCAGCCGCGGUAAUAC
rnacentral:rRNA from 1 species